AUGCAGAUCUUCCGGGGAAAAUGUAUUUUUGAGUACUCCAGACAAUUGAAACUAGCGAGCCCACUGUCUGGAGAAAGCAUCUGUAACCGCAGCCAAAAGAGGAACAAGAUUUCCGACAUUGUUUCAAGACAUGUGUUUGAAGCAUGGGUUCCCAUCACUUUCGGAGAAGAGCUUCAGCUAGGACUGGUGUGGAUUGAGAGCCAGGAAUCCUUUCUGCCUGAGUCCUGGACUGCUGAAAAACAGCUACACCAACACCCUCACACAGGCGUACUUCUUCACAUUUAUCCUAGGUCAUCACACCUCACGGGAGGCUUCCCUGCUUUUAAUGAGCAACUCAGAAACCACAGAGAGGACUGGAGAAUGGAAGUCAUUGGACGUUCUCAUGUUUGA
rnacentral:lncRNA from 1 species